AUUGGAAUACAACCAAAACAAAACAACAAUUGAUGGCUGGCUGCUAAUCAACCAAGUUUAAAGAAAUGUAGUCAAAUCUAGUUUGAAGAAUGUAGGCUAUCUUUUGAUUGUAAAUUCUAUUGUGAUUGUACGCACUACACAGUGCUACAGGCUACAGGCAUCAUCCCCAGCAAUGUUGGAAUUACUUUUUCUCAAGUUUUUUCCAGAGUUUUUUCUCCUUUGGCCAAUCCUUUACUAUGUUACUGAGACAAGAGAUAAGUUUGGAUUCCCCCUGUUAUUGAUUGCUUGGACUGGUACUGAAGUUCUUCGCUACCUUUACUCAUCGCUUGGACUGUUACUGAAGUUCUUCGCUACCUUUACUAAUUGCUUGAACUGUUACUGAAGUUUUUCGCUACCUUUACUACAUCUUGAAUUUACUCUCUGCUGUGCAAGCUAUUACAGUGGUGCAGAUAUUCUUUUUCAUUAAUCUUGUAUCCUUUUGGAAUAACGGGUGAGCUUAUUUUCUGUUCUAUGCUCUACCCUACUACAGCAUAACUCAGGAAUUUUAAGUUUUACUACCAAAUAAGUGGAAUUCAACAUUCAACUUCUAAAAAUUUUCGCGUGAAAUUAGGAUAUGACCUACUAAUCAAACAGAUGAGAGGUCGUUUUGCUGAAUUCACCCCUCUGGGUUCUACGGAACAGCACGUGCGACAAAAGUUGUUCCAAAGAUUCCAUUAACGAACUGGCUUUCUUAACAACGCCGACUGUUACAUCCGGGAAGGUCAACGCCGUCGACCCAAAGAAGAUCCCUCCAACCCAAUCAACGUGACUGACGUAAUCACCCUUAAAGCAGAGAACAAAUAAAAUCCUCGACUAAUCGAAGGAGCUUUCAAAGAGAGUGAAAACAACGAAUUAACUGGAUUCAAAAGUAUCCGAGAAUCGAUAUCGAAACAUUCAAAAAAAAGUCUAAUUAUCAAGGCCUUGCUCAUUACUGUAUUUGCUGAGGCAAACCCCAAAGAGGAAUGAUCGAAUGCUCAUCUGCAAGGGUAUGAUUCCAUCUUUCGUGUUUAAGAGGAGCGAAACAACAAGGUCCAGGGGCCAAAAACAAGACCAAUGAUGAAGGCAAUGCGAUCUGCAGAAUCAAAGAUGGCCGUUACCUCAGUGACUAUAUUUGUCGUUCAAGACGGACUCGUAUUGUAACGAUCCACUCGCUGCUAGUGACGUUACAAAAAAAUCCUGUUCGAUUACCCGAAGGUGAAAUUCUUCAAGGUCUCACCAAGAAGACCAUGAACUGGCAAGAUCGACGCUGCAAUCUACUAAAGAGAUAACACUUAACAGCAUGACUGUCUCAAUUAUCUACCAUGUUUCAACGUGCUACGACGCUUCUUCUCGGAAAGAAAUGGAUUAUAAAAUAGAUAAAAUGACCUUCAAAAAUUGUCGGUGAGGGGGAAACACCGCGAUUGGCUCUUCCCUAGCAAGACAGGUUUUCUAAUAUCGAAAGAAGAUUGACACAGGGUUGUAGAUCUUGUAAGGAUUCCGCCAGGCUCAUAGCAUGUAAAAAGGUACACUUGACUUUCUAAAGUCACCCUCGCUAUUGAAAAGAGUCAAGGCCAAGAGUAACCGACACAAACUAGACCCAUAACUUCCAGAACAAUUUAAACCUUAUGCCUUUCUAAAAAUCCCCCUUUGUUCAUGAAAAAGCCAAGGCCAAAAGCUGACGCUACUAAAAAUGCGCCUCAUUCUUCAACAUUUCAAAAUGUAAUAAAUAGAACUAGCAAGUAAAAAGAAGCAGUGACGUUCGGAGUCGUUACAGUCAGUCCGGCAGUUCAGUUCCGCCAGUUCCGUCUAAACUGUUCUUCCUCUGCACUACUCGAUUCUACCCUAUCCGAAAUUCUCUCACUGACCAGACUCUUCCUUUCACCUUAAUUCCACUUCCCUCAACUGUAUUGACCAGACGUAUCAUCGAUUGUCCAGCAUUCUCUUAUCAGUGUAAUAAUGCGGUAAAUACAAGUCUUAGUAG
rnacentral:lncRNA from 1 species